UUCUGAUUUUAUCUGAUGGGAUUGAUUCAGAGAAAUAGUUUUGAGUAUUUGCCCCAGAUUUUAAAAAUUCGAAUUAUAUCUCUCCUUUUAAGUGAGUUGUGGGGGCAGGAGGUGGUCACAGUUCAAUGCACAACUAGUUCAAUCUCUUUGCUCCUAUCAGAACUUUAAAGAAGUUUUUUUUUUUUUUUUUUUACCAUUUGGCUUUAAAUUUACUGCUACAAUAAAUUUAAUGUUAACCACUUCCUUUAAUCCAUUUCAUUGGUCACUUUGGUCAGGUGAAUCAUUCUGAUGAUGCCUGUGCAAUGCAAUGAGAUUGUUUGUCAAUUUCCUCUACCUCAUAUUUAGAUUUUAAUGGCUUUCGAUGGGAUAUAGCAAUUAUAUUUUGACAUAACUAAACAAUAAUCUGUAUUGUGUGACUACUUAGGAAGUAUUGGUAAUGUUGUACUAUUAAACGUUUACUAGUUGCCUAGAGUAUUUCUCAUUGAGUAACUUUGCAUGCCCCAUGCUAUACAAGUGACUUGAUAGACUCUAAUAAAACAGUCCCAGAAUUUGUUGUAAAUUCCCCCUAGUGCUUAAGCUGAUAUCUGAGUCACCAUAGUUUCCAAAUUAAGUACUUCCAGAAGCAGCCAAAGAGAUACAAGACGACAAUUAAUGCUGAUCAAGCCAAGAAAUCAAAAAUAUAAAAAUAAAAAAAAUAGGAGUGGGGAGCAAGGGGAAAGUAUAUAAUACGUUGAAAUAUUGCAACUUUUUGAUUUUUUCAUUUUAAUGCUGAUAAAAUUUUUUCUUUCUUUCUUUUUUUUUUAAAAAAAUUUACACUUAUGUCCCUGGUCAAGUCUGUAGGAAAAUAAGGAAAAAAGAAAAAUGUUAUUGGGGGAAAUGAGACUCAUAUAAUUAUAGAAACUACUUCCUGCAAAAAUAAAAUUCUGGGAGCCUAAUGGUUAGUUCAAAUGGAACACACAGAGACUGAGCACAAAGCCCUUCUUUCUCUAAUAUAAACAAAAUAAACAAGGAAAAAGAAUAAGCAGAUUCCCAAGAACUGAAUGAUGUGAAAAAUUAGAUACUCCUCCCAAAGGCUCUUCAUUGCCAGGGCACCCUUCAUGUUUCCAGAGGGUGAAGCAGCCAGUUCUGCUGAAAGGAACGUCGUUGUUCAUAGGAUGCCAGUCCUUUCUACUCCCAACAAGUAGAAUCAUGAAAGUUAAU
rnacentral:lncRNA from 10 species